UACAGGGGGGGCAAGCGUUGUUCGGAAUUACUGGGCGUAAAGGGCUCGUAGGUGGCCAACUAAGUCAGACGUGAAAUCCCUCAGCUUAACUGGGGAACUGCGUCUGAUACUGGAUGGCUUGAGUUUGGGAGAGGGAUGCGGAAUUCCAGGUGUAGCGGUGAAAUGCGUAGAUAUCUGGAGGAACACCGGUGGCGAAGUCGGCAUCCUGGACCAACACUGACACUGAGGAGCGAAAGCCAGGGGAGCAAACGGG
rnacentral:rRNA from 1 species